CAUCGAGACUCCUACGGGAGGCAGCAGUGGGGAAUAUUGCACAAUGGGGGAAACCCUGAUGCAGCCAUGCCGCGUGUGUGAAGAAGGCCUUCGGGUUGUAAAGCACUUUCAGUAGGGAGGAAGGUAGUGUAGUUAACACCUGCACUAUUUGACGUUACCUACAGAAGAAGCACCGGCUAACUCCGUGCCAGCAGCCGCGGUAAUACGGAGGGUGCGAGCGUUAAUCGGAAUUACUGGGCGUAAAGCGCAUGCAGGCGGCCUGUUAAGUCAGAUGUGAAAGCCCCGGGGCUUAACCUCGGAAUUGCAUUUGAAACUGGCAGGCUAGAGUCUUGUAGAGGGGGUAGAAUUUCAGGUGUAGCGGUGAAAUGCGUAGAGAUCUGAAGGAAUACCAGUGGCGAAGGCGGCCCCCUGGACAAAGACUGACGCUCAGAUGCGAAAGCGUGGGGAGCAAACAGGAUUAGAUACCCUGGUAG
rnacentral:rRNA from 1 species